GGCCGCCUGGCGAAAUGGCAUCGCGUCUGACUACGACGUGGCGUGAUCAGGAGAUUGCAGGUUCGACCCCUGCGGUGGUCA